UAAAUAGGGAAUCCUUUCCCCAUUCCUUGUUUUUGUCAGGUUUUCAAAGGCCAGAUGGUUGUAGAUGUGUGGUGUUAUUUCUGAGGCCUCUGUUCUGUUCCAUUGGUCUGUAUGUUUGUUUUGGUAUCAGUCCCAUGCUGUUUUUGUUACUGUAGCCUUGUAGUAUAGUUUGAAGUCAGGUAGUGUGAUGCCUCCAGCUUUGUUCUUUUUGCUUAGGGUUGUCUUGGCAAUGUGGGCUCUUUUACGGUUCCAUGUGAACUUUAAAGUAGUUUUUUCCAAUUCUGUGAAGAAAGUCAUUGGUAGCUUGAUGGGGAUGGCAUUGAAUCUAUAAAUUACCUUGGGCAGUAUGGCCAUUUUCACGAUAUUGAUUCUUCCUAUCCAUGAGCAUGGAAGGUUAUUUGUUUGUGUCCUCCUUUAUUUCAUUGAGCAGUGGUUUGUAGUUCUCCUUGAAGAGGUCCUUCACAUCCCUUGUAAGUUGGAUUCCUAGGUGUUUUAUUCUCUGUAGCAAUUGUGAAUGGGUGUUCAGUCAUGAUUUGGCUGUCUUUUAUUGGUGUAGACGAAUGCUUGUGAUUUUUGCACAUUGAUUUUGUAUCCUGAGACUUUGCUGAGUUGCUUAUCAGGUUAAGGAGUUUUUGGGCUGAGACGAUGGGGCUUUCUAAAUAUACAGUCAUGUCAUCUGCAAACAGGGACAAUUUGACUUCCUCUUUUCCUAACUGAAUACCCUUUAUUUCUUUCUCUUGCCUGAUUGCCCUGGCCAGAACUUCCAACACUAUGUUGCAUAGGAGUGGUGAGAGAGGGCAUCUCUGUCUUGUGCCAGUUUUCAAAGGGAAUGCUUCCAGUUUUUGCCCAUUCAGUAUGAUACUGGCUGUGGGUUUGUCAUAAAUAGCUCUUAUUAUUUUGAGAUAGGUUCCAUCAAUACCUAGUUUAUUGAGAGUUUUUAGCAGGAAGGGCUGUUGAAUUUUGUCAAAGGCCUUUUCUGCAUCUAUUGAGAUAAUCAUGUGGUUUUUGUCCUUGGUUCUGUUUAUGUGAUGGAUUACGUUUAUUGAUUUGUGAAUGUUGAACCAGCCUUGCAUCACAGGGAUGAAGACAACUUGAUCGUGGUGGAUGAGCUUUUUGAUGUGAUGCUAGAUUCAGUUUGCCAGUAUUUUAUUGAGGAUUUUAGCAUCGAUGUGCAUCAGGGAUACUGCUCUAAAAUUGUCUUUUUUUGUCGUGUCUCUGCCAGGCCUUGGUAUCAGGAUGAUGCUGGCCUCAUAAAAUGAGUUAGGGAGGAUUCCCUCUUUUUCUAUUGAUUGGAAUAGUUUCAGAAGGAAUGGUACCAGUUCCCCUUUAUACCUCUGGUAGAAUUCGGCUGAGAAUCCGUCUGGUCCUGGGCUUUUUUUGGUUGGUAGGCUAUUGAUUAUUGCCU
rnacentral:lncRNA from 1 species